rnacentral:rRNA from 1 species
ACAGCAGUAGCCGCGGGAAUACAGAGGGUGCAAGCGUUAAUCGGAAUUACUGGGCGUAAAGCGCGCGUAGGUGGUUUGUUAAGUUGGAUGUGAAAGCCCCGGGCUCAACCUGGGAACUGCAUCCAAAACUGGCAAGCUAGAGUACGGUAGAGGGUGGUGGAAUUUCCUGUGUAGCGGUGAAAUGCGUAGAUAUAGGAAGGAACACCAGUGGCGAAGGCGACCACCUGGACUGAUACUGACACUGAGGUGCGAAAGCGUGGGGAGCAAACAGGAUUAGAGACCCCGGUAGUCCCUGUCUCUUAUAA